GUCGAGAAUAAUUCACAAUGGGGGAAACCCUGAUGGUGCAACGCCGCGUGGAGGAUGAAGGUCUUCGGAUUGUAAACUCCUGUCAUCUGGGAGUAAGACCUGACGGUGAAUAGCCGGCAGGGUUGAUAGUACCAGAAGAGGAAGGGACGGCUAACUUCGUGCCAGCAGCCGCGGUAAUACGAAGGUCCCAAGCGUUGUUCGGAAUCACUGGGCGUAAAGGGUGCGUAGGCGGCGUGGUAAGUCAGAUGUGAAAUCCCGGGGCUCAACCUCGGAACUGCAGCCGAUACUGCCAUGCUUGAGGGCUGGAGAGGUAACUGGAAUUCUCGGUGUAGCAGUGAAAUGCGUGGAUAUCGAGAGGAACACUCGUGGCGAAGGCGAGUUACUGGACAGCAUCUGACGCUGAGGCACGAAGGCCAGGGGAGCGAAAGGGAUUAGAUACCCGGGUAGUCC
rnacentral:rRNA from 1 species